AAAAAGGGCUUCUGUCGUGAGUGGCACACGUAGGGCAGCUCCAUUGCUCUUCGUGCGGAAUCGACAUCAAGAGAUUUUGGAAGCCUCUU